GAGAACGCACGUACACGGUGCUCAGCAAAUUCUGUCUCGUAUCGUCAAUUUCCAGGAACUUCUAGGUUGCGAUUCCCUCUUCAUACUCGGCCCCCUCCAGUCCACCGGUAGCCGCUGCUCGUCUCCUACCGCCGACCACCAUAGUCUUUUCGCAUUUAAACCCCAGAGAAUAGAACAGAGUACAGGGAAGGAAUUCUUAUGUUUAUUUGUGAUUCUCUCUUGCUGUCCUCUAUGAAUCCUCACCUCUCUCUCUGUCACUGAUUGCCUUCGCAGGCUACUUCCCCAACACCACCAGCUUCGCAGCCACAGAACUUGCAAGGAAAGAAUGCAGGCAUACCGUAAAUUGAGCAUUAUAUAUACAGAGAAGCAAACGGAUGCACAGCAUGCUCUGGCUAGUUUGGGAAAGGAGCAGCAUAUGCAGUUUACUAUUUUCACAAGUAUUCCAAACGUUAUUGAAGAUACUUUAUGUAAGGAUGCACUUGACAGUAUUUCGACUACGAGUGAUGUAACUUGACUGGUUUAAUUUCUGAA